UACAGAGGGGGCAAGCGUUAUUCGGAAUUAUUGGGCGUAAAGGGCGCGUAGGCGGCCUGGCAAGUGGAAGGUGAAAUCCCUCGGCUUAACCGAGGAACUGCCCUCCAAACUGCUUGGCUUGAGACCGGGAGAGGUGAGUGGAAUUCCCAGUGUAGCGGUGAAAUUCGUAGAUAUUAGGAAGAACACCGGUGGCGAAGGCGGCCCACUGGAUCGGUACUGACGCUGAGGUGCGAAAGCGUGGGGAGCAAACAGG
rnacentral:rRNA from 1 species